AAGAUUCRUUUCAUUCCAAGCCAGUUAUAAAAAUUCGCAUCUUCUAGCUUAGCUUCUAAGUAUGACAGCAGCAAUGAAAAUGGUUUUCGUCUUUGCGUUUCUUGUUUUGGUUCUUUCAACAGACAGGGCCUUAGGAAUUCGCAAUCUCGCGAGGGUCAACAAAGGAAAGCGAAACUCCAUCAACUCUUGCCAGCAUGGGACGGAUCUAGAUGCUGACUGUUUCCGGAGCAUAGUCUGUAGUGCUGCGCGGCAAAUGAGAUGCUAUAGUUAAGAAACUAUWAACAACACGAACUAGCAGACGAACGUGGAAAGCAUCGUGCAUAUCUGAUCCCUCAAUUGACAAUCUCUGAUGACCACACGGAACAAGACCAGCCUAUUAUACAGCCAUAUCGUUUAUAAUUUAACCAUAUAUGAUAAGAUUGUUAAAAUUGCUCUAAAAGCUUAAAAUCUAUACUUUAWUUGGAAGGACAAGAUGCUUAUCUAUUGAUAAAUAAGCUAAAGCUUUAGCUGUAAUAAUUGCAAUGAAAAUAAAUUGUUGAUUAAUUCAC